rnacentral:rRNA from 1 species
AUGAUGGACAUCCAAGAAAUUCGUGAUGGUGUGUCAUCCCUCUUCGUCAUGCUGAAUAAGGAGACAUUCGUCCUGUUUCGGAUUGAGUUUCUUGUGGUCCUGCUCACACUCUUGUUCCUUGCAAUGUUCAUCAUGGACGUCUUUCGUCGCCACAUCCGCAACAGAGUCAUGAAAACCAUCUUUAGCAUCUUGGAUGGCGUCUCUGACUCUAUUAUCUUAUACCUGCUGGGGGCCAUGCAAACGGCCAAGUUCAAGAAUCAGCUGUUCCCGGUUUGGGCCCUCGUGCUUGUUAGUUUCCGGUACAACGUCGACUUCAUCUCUGGCUAUGGUGUUGAUGACCGCCAUGGGCGACGGUUCAUGGAGUGGAGGAAUGUGGUGAAACUUCUGGGAUCGGCGUUCUUGAACUGGUCACGUGGCUCAAGGUUCACACUUCCACUCUGGUCACUUUGGGCUCUGCAGAUACUAAGGAGCUGGUACAGAUACCAUUCCUAUCUUCUCGCACUCAAUUCUGUCUGGCAUGGUAAGAGUUCAGAGGUCGUUGCUGGCCCUCACACUAGCAACUGGAAACCGGAGGACUGCAACCCAGAGAAUAAUAUGGAAGGAUACAAAUACUUGAUCCAUGGAGAAACCUAUCAGAGAAUCAAACUCAAGAAGCCUCAGUAUGUCUUGUUUAUCGAUACUCAGAAUUACCACCAAGCUGAGCGCGGUUUUUCAUCGCUGGUUACCCUAGACAAUAUCUGGGGAUGUCGCAGGCACCUGUUAAACCCAAACAACAAUAAGGGGAAUGACCAAAAGGACCUAUGUCUGGCCUUCGCCUUGUCCAGGCUGCUCCGGUGCGGGCUCGAGGAUGUGACACUUCAACAAGAUAUCUUCCGCAUCAACCGAAAGCUAGUUAAGACUAAGAUCCUUGAGGAGGAGAACACUGACCGUGCCUUUAGGGUCAUGGAGCUGCAACUCUCCUUCGUAAAUGACUACUUCAAUACCCGCUACCCUAUGGUCUUCUGGAAUGGGUUCCCUUCUCUCUUCUUAAAUUUGCUUCUCUCCAUGGUGACCUUCUUUGUUGUAUGCUGGCUUGCUGUGGACAUCCGUAAGGUCUAUAUGCCCCCGAAAAACGAUCGAGCUCGUGUGGUGCAUGGGUUCAAUGUUGACAUGAUCAUCACCUGGGUAUUCAUGUUUUUUAUGCUAUUUAAAGAGAUCUGGGAGAUGGUCAGCUACUUAGUCUCAGACUGGACAAGAUUACUCCUAGUGUGCAGCUAUGCACGGUGGAAGGAAGAGCGCACUAGAAACAGAUGCAUGGAGGGCACAAUAUCAUCCUUUUUCAGAUCUAGGAUAACUAGUAAGCAGUGGCAUGGACUUAUUGACCAGUACGUCUUCUUAGAGUCGUAUGAUGACAGGCCAAGAUUUUCGAAUCUGAUGCACAAGAUAACCACUGGAAUGGUUCCAAACAAGGAUGAUGGAGUAACACUCCGCAGUGCCAUCAAUGUGCCAGAAUGUGUCAAGCCAGCAAUACUGAAGAAGCUCUGUGCAAGCCUAGAGCAGCUCAGCUCUCCUAAUAUUGUACAUGAUCAGGAGCAAAGCCAUUUUCUGCCCAGGGUCAUCACGUCACUGUCCGGCAAUGACGGUGACCGAAGGAAGCGUUACAGUUGGGCCUGCUACGACCUGCCCACAUGCUCUCAUGUAAUUUUGGUGUGGCAUAUUGCAACCAGCCUCUGUGAAAUGAAGCUUGCUCAAGACCAUGACGUCGACUUAAGCAAACAUGGGUUCCUAAGCUCACUCUUGUCAUAUUUCACAAGUUGUUUCUCAUCGAAACCAUAUCUUGUGGAUGUGGACGAGAAGAGGAAAGAAAAUAAGAAAGUAAAUGAGAAGUUGACUGGUAAGCUACAGGAAAUGUAUAUCACUGCGAAUAGCUUGUCUCGGUACUGUGCAUAUCUGCUAGUUUCAAAGCCGGACCUGAUCCCUGACAGCUUUUAUGUACCCUACAUGGUCUUACAAGAAACCGUGACAUGUGCUCGUGAUGACAUUCUUAAAAAUUGUGACUCGCUACUGAGCAGGUAUGCCAAACUGAUGGAAGAAGCAGAGAAGGCCAUCCAAGAUGCCGACGACGUCAUGGAGAAGGAAGAUAUUGUGCGAUUAGGUGCAAAACUGGGCAAGGAACUGAUUGAUCAAGAGACUGAAGAAGAAUGCUGGGAGAUUCUUUCUGGGGUAUGGGCUGAUUUACUAGUGCAUAUUGCCCCCACUUGGAACGCAGAGGCACACAAGGAGUGCCUUGAGUCAGGAGGGGAAUUUGUAACCUAUAUCUGGGCAUUGUUGUGGCAUUGUGGAAUCGAGAAGAGCAAAUUAUGGCCAGUGGAAGAUCUGUAUGACAUUGUGGUGGUCAGAGGGAUGCAGAAUAACGGGAACACAUGUUACUUCAAUGCAGUGUUGCAGAGUCUCCUUGCACUUGAUAAGCUGCGUGCAAGGAUGUUAGGACCGGGUGCUCCGACAGGGAAACUUGGUCAAGAACUACAGAAGCUCUUCAAAAAGACAAGCAAUAUCAAUGGCACAGGAGGUGUGCUGAUGCCAGAGAAGCUCUUCUUAGAUAUUUGCUCAAGGAAUUCAGAUUUUAGACCCGGCGUGAUGGAAGACAGCAAUAACAUGCUUGGUUCCUUGAUAAAUGGUUUGAAGAAUGAGGAAGGUACAAUGGUUGAGUCACUAUUCCGCAGUGAGGUUGCUAAACAUGUCUCCGGCAAAGAGUGUGAGCACACAUCAAUUACAAUGGAGGACCUUGAUCUCAGUCUAGCAAUACCACCAAAGAAGCCUGCAUCAAUCGAGGACUGCUUGGAUUUGUAUGCCACUGGAUUGAUCGAGGAUUGGCAUUGCAUAGACUGUUCAGCUGCUUCUGCAGCUGGAAAUACCUCUUUGAACCAAGAUACAACAAUCGAUGGCCAACCCGAACAGUCAAACAAUAAAACAUACAAAAAUGAGGAAUCUGGCCAUCCAGCUGACAGGCAAACGAGAACAACAUAUGGGAACAAUGGAAAGCUACCGGUGAUUGAUGGCAAUGCAAAUCAAAUGGAACAGAGCCAUAAAAAACAGAAAGACGAAAAGAAGAUAUGCAGGGCUGCAAUAGUACAAUAUCGCAUUACCAAGUCGGCGCCUAUACUAACCAUUCAUCUGAAGAGAUUCAACUAUGUCCACUCUGAUAGGCCAUACGAGUUGCAAGAGCGUGUGAACUUUGAAGAUACACUUGAUAUAACAAAGUUCAUAGAUCCUGGGCAUCUCAAGGACGACGAGUACAAGUACCGUCUAGUUGCUGUCAUUGUACACAGUGGACCGACCCUGCGCGAAGGACACAAUUUUGCCUAUGUGAGAGCAAGCCAAAUUGGAUGCCAACAGCAGGCGAGCCAUGACGAUCCAACAUGGUUCUGUGCAAGCGACGAAAGCAUCACAGAAGUAUCACUAAAAGAGGUGAUCGAGUGUCAGGCCUACAUUCUUUUUUAUGAAAGGGUCGAACAGCCAAAGGCCAAGCCAGUUGUAGAAGAGCAUCCACCAACCGGUCACUGA